GUGAAAAGUGAUUCUUGUGUAUACUAAUUGAAACGAUACAGAGAAGAUUAGCAUGGCUCCUGAGCAAGGAUUUUCAAUGUAUUUGAAAAUCAUUACAGAAGUUA